CGCCUCUUGAAUAAAAAUAAGAGGUCCAGCCUGCCCAGUGACUAUAGUUCAACGGCCGCGGUAUCCUAACCGUGCGAAGGUAGCGUAAUCACUUGUUCUUUAAAUGAGGACUAGUAUGAACGGCACCACGAGGGUUAUACUGUCUCCUCUUUCUAAUCAGUGAAACUAAUCUCCCCGUGAAGAAGCGGGGAUAAAACUAUAAGACGAGAAGACCCUAUGGAGCUUUAAAUUUCUCCUUAAACGCUUAAUCACUCAAAAGUUUAAAACUUCACCACAUGAAUCCUCGCGUUGUAAGGAUAACUUUUAGGUUGGGGUGACCACGGAGUAUAAAACAACCUCCAUGCUGAACAGGCCUCCAAGCCUUGAACCAAGGACCACAACCCGCCGCACUAGUACACUAACACCCAUUGAUCCAAUGCAUUUUGAUCAACGAACCAAGUUACCCUAGGGAUAACAGCGCAAUCUACUUCAAGAGUUCCUAUCGACAAGUGGGUUUACGACCUCGAUGUUGGAUCAGGGUGUCCCAGUGGUGCAGCCGCUACUAAUGGUUCGUUUGUUCAACGAUUAAAACCCUA
rnacentral:rRNA from 1 species